rnacentral:lncRNA from 1 species
AGCACCAAGCAAUAGUUAUUACUACUUUUUUUUUUUUUCCUUCAUAUCUUUGCUAACAAAAUCUUGUGUGCUGCAAAGUUUCUUAGUUUGAAUUUGGCUUGAAAUGUUUUAAUUCUUGUUCCUUUCUUGGAAAAUUCCAAGAUAUUUUGAUUGGUUUUGGCUUAACACAUAAACAAAUAAGUUGUUUAUAAUAGGAUAAGAUGUACUUAUAUUUUUGCCAAUUUGAAACUGUUUUAGGGUGAAUCAACAUGAACAAUGGUAGAAACAAGCAUGAUCAAGAGUCUAGUGAGAGAGGUCUGUUUUCACAUAUAACAGGCUAUCCAGCAGCACCACCUGCUUCUUACUCCUAUCCACCUCAAGGAGGUUAUUAUCCGCCACCACAAACUGCAUAUCCACCUCAAGGAGGUUAUUAUCCUUCACAGUAUCCACCACAUGCAGCCGGAGGAGGGUAUCCACCUUCCGGUUAUCCUCAUUCCGGAUAUCAUCAUCAACCAUCUUAUCAUGCUCCACAAUAUGGCUAUCCAUAUCCUUCAGG